CCCCCUCCCGGAUUCAAAGUGGAUCUCCCUCCUCGCGCCCCUGCCGACCUGGCGUGACUUUGGCCCGGUCCCAGCCCACCCCUCACCUCGCGCGGGUCUGGGGUCCUCACACCAGGCGGGAGCUGGACGCCAUGACCAGCCUGAAUAAGCAUCGGGGCUCUCUGGCUGCCUCCUUCUGCCUUCAUACCAGAGCCCGGAGAGGCCCCUGUCAAAAUAAGAGCUCCCCCAUCUCGCUCGCCUCCUCGCCCAACCCGGCUCCCCCAGCCUCCCAGCGGUCUGACUCGUGCAGGUUCCAGGUUGAGAUGCGCCCAGCCAGCCCUAGGCAGCCACGAGUUCUGGGUGGAACCCUGGAGUGAGCAAGGGCAGAAGAGGCCAGCGGCUCAUUGCUGGAAUGGAGCGACUCCCUCUACUGGCCAACUCGGGGAACCACCUUGUGUUUCCCUGCCUCCGUGCCACUGUGUCAUGAAGAGUGUCUCAGGUGGAGACACCUUCCUGGGCCCUACAAGAGGAGCGGAUCCGGGCAUACUGGCUUCUUCCCCACUUACUCCAGCUGCCUGGCUUCCUGAUGAUGGUGAUUAUUAUAUAAUAGACCUGCUGGACAGAGCCAUGCCAGGGCUCGGAACACUUUGCCCCCUUCUAGAAGCCCGCCCGCCCCAGGGCCUGGCACCAGCUGCAAAGAGCCGGCUGCCCAGCUCCGUCGGCCGCCCCCCUCAGCACCGCCUCCAUCCCGGGGCCACCUUCCCUGGAGGUGUGGGUUCAGGUCCAAGGGUGAGGCGCACCCAAAGAGAGAAGUCAGGUUGGCAUCCCGCAAGUUUCGGGGUCGGCUUGUGGAGUGUGGCUUUGUCAGCGCCUCUCCCGGACUGUGGGGUCCAUCUAGUCCGUGUAACUUGAACUCGAAACUUAGAAGCUUAUGGAGAUGGGGAUAAGGACUCGGGGCCCCGGGGGCCCGUGAUCGGAAAAAGAAAGAGUUUGUAAAAGGGGCGGGGGGGGGGCUGGCAAAGGGAGGCUGGGAGAGGGGGCCAGCAGGGGCAGUGGGGGAGGGACUUUUAUCCUGACAGCGCUCUCGCCUUCCCCGACUGGAGGGUUUGGAAAAACUGAGCAGGCAGCCAAGGCUUGGCUGGAAACCCUGCAGCCCACCCUCCUGGGGACACAAAGCUGGAGGGCGGGGGCAGGGCGGGGAAGAGAGCACGACCUCAUGGGAGGACGGGGCCUCUUUUGGGGCUGGGGGCUCUGUGGCCAGGCCCCUGGGGAGGGGGUGCCUGGUGCUGUCUCCCUGCAGUCGGCUUCCCCCUUCGCCUUCUCUCCCCCCCACUCCUCCCUCCUCUCCGGCUCCAGUCUGGCAGAUUGCGGGCAGACUUAACUCCUUCUGCGCCAGCCCCGUGUGCUGGUGGACUCCGAGGUGGUGAUGCUGUGAGGGGGGGAGGAACUCCCAACCCCACUUCCACCCACAAUUUAACACCUUGUGUCCUGGAAUGCCAUCCCGGAACUGUGACUAGUCAGAGCCCUGGAAAGCUGCCUGAGGAGCGACACCCAAAACCUGGCACCUGAGAGCUGCAUAAUCCAGUCCUCUCUCUCGCCAAGUACCACCCGUCCACCCCAUCCUCUGCGUCUCUUCCUCCACCCUGUGGCCACUCUUCCACUACCACCCGGCCCAAGUCCGGUGAGUUGUUACAAAGGCCCCAGACUGCUACUAGAAGCGGAGAAGAACCCGGAAGUCUGGGUUCUGUGUCUGCACCCUGUGAGUCUCCUAGCAGGUAACCACAGACUCUGCCUCCUUAGUGCCUACCCGUCUGCUAGAGGAGCCACCCAGCUGAGAUGGGGAAAGAGGGAGAGGGGCUAGCUCCCCAACACCCCCCCCCCCCGAAUUCCAGCAAGGACAAGGACAUGAAUAAAUAGAAACUCUGACACUACCACCACCAUAACCCCUCUCCUAGGCUACAGCUCUGCUCCACCAAUAGAUUUUUGUUUCCCCUUUCCUGUCACCCCUCCAUUUCUAUUCUGAAGAACUGGGCGAGGAAAAAGUAUCUCAGACUAGGCAGGAAGGGGUUAACGUAGCUCCCCGGCUCUAUUUGAGAGCCAGGUGAGGCACCACCUCUCUGGGCCCUCCCUUGUCUAUGGGUGAGGAAGUGGUGGGACACCCGGCUGUUCUUUUGCCCCCUGGUGGCUGGAUCUGGUUUAGCAGUCUGGCAGAAGUCAGGCUGACCUGAGGAUUGGUGGAAGGACUUUGAAGUAAACUCUGGUAGGGAUAGCACAGUUGGACUGGAAAAGAGUCCUGAGAUCUCCCAGUUUCCCUACCAAGUCAUCCACACUCAUCAGGCUGCCUCAGUUGCUUCCAGAUCCUGGCCCUCGGGACUCUACUUGGGAUUCCAAAGGUGCCCACACACCUGGAGGAGGACAUGAAAGAAAAAGAAGGUAGCUAGUGGAGGCCCAAACUCCAGUCUCACCUAACAGAGGGUGUUAAUCAUAGGAAGCUGCUUUUCACCCUCUGUUUUUCCUGUGCCCCAGACCUCUCCAGAACUUCCAUCCCUCCAAACCCCAGUAACAAAGUCAAACAGGGCAGGGGUAGGUAACUUAAUGGUUAUGCAAAGUGACUCUCAGGAGGGUAGCCAGUGGGUUAAGCUCACAUGGCCCAAAGCCUAAGGAUCCCAGUUUGAGCCCCUGGAUCCCCACCUGCAGAGGGGUCUGUGCUCUGCAGAGCCAUCAGUGCUCUGGUUUAAAAAACAAAUUCAAAGAGAAUUCUAGUCAGACUUUGAAGCUCCUUACCAGUACCCUGUCUCCUUUCACCUUCCCUCUCCUCCAACCCAUCCUCCUAGGUUUCUUCUGUAAUGCAAACAAUUAACCAGGUGCGCCACCACCUGGCCUCUAGGUUUCUUCUGUAGUAGACAAAAAGAAAAGGGAGAGGAGGG